rnacentral:rRNA from 1 species
UGGGGAAUAUUGCACAAUGGGCGCAAGCCUGAUGCAGCAACGCCGCGUGAGGGAUGACGGCCUUCGGGUUGUAAACCUCUUUUAGCAGGGAAGAAGCGAAAGUGACGGUACCUGCAGAAAAAGCACCAGCUAACUACGUGCCAGCAGCCGCGGUAAUACGUAGGGUGCAAGCGUUGUCCGGAAUUAUUGGGCGUAAAGAGCUCGUAGGCGGUCUGUCGCGUCUGCUGUGAAAUCCCGAGGCUCAACCUCGGGCCUGCAGUGGGUACGGGCAGACUAGAGUGCGGUAGGGGAGAAUGGAACUCCUGGUGUAGCGGUGGAAUGCGCAGAUAUCAGGAAGAACACCGAUGGCGAAGGCAGUUCUCUGGGCCGUAACUGACGCUGAGGAGCGAAAGCGUGGGGAGCGAACAGGAUUAGAUACCCUGGUAGUCCACGCCGUAAACGUUGGGCGCUAGAUGUGGGGACCAUUCCACGGUUUCCGUGUCGCAGCUAACGCAUUAAGCGCCCCGCC